UGAAAGCUCCGUGCUCAACGCGGAGAGGUCGUUCAAUACUGCCGAUCUGGAGGACAUCAGAGGGGCGUGGAAUUUCCGGUGUAGCGGUAAAAUGCGCAGAUAUCGGAAGGAAUACCAGUGGCGAAAGCGGCGCCCUGGGGUGGACCUGACGCUGAGAGACGAAAGCUAGGGGAGCAAACAGGAUUAGAGACCCUGGUAGUCCUAGCUAUAAACGAUGGAUGCUAGGUGUGGGGCCGAGAAGGCUCUGUGCCGCAGCCAACGCGCUAAGCAUCCCGCCUGGGGACUACGGCCGCAAGGCUAAAACUCAAACGAAUUGACGGGGCCCCGCACAAGCAGCGGAGCGUGUGGUUCAAUUCGAUGCUACACGAAGAACCUUACCUGGGCUUGACAUGGAGGUGGUAGGGAAGCGAAAGCGGACCGACCCUUCGGGGAGCCUUCACAGGUGCUGCAUGGCUGUCGUCAGCUCGUGCCGUGAGGUGUCGGGUUAAGUCCCGUAACGAGCGCAACCCUUGCCCUUAGUUACAAGUGUCUAAGGGGACUGCCGGCGGUAAGCCGGAGGAAGGUGGGGAUGACGUCAAGUCAGCAUGGCCCUUAUGUCCAGGGCUACACACACGCUACAAUGGUCGGUACAAAGGGCAGCGAAGCCGCGAGGUGGAGCGAAUCUCAUCAAAGCCGAUCGUAGUUCGGAUUGCAG
rnacentral:rRNA from 1 species